rnacentral:misc_RNA from 1 species
CUUAAAAGUGAAUCCAAAGAUCAAUCCACCGACCGAGAGAGAGAUGGGAGGGUACGCUUUGGGUUCGGCUUUUGAUUCCAAAUCAGGGCAGAUGAUAAUGGUGGCUUUAUUAUUAAUGGUGGGCUCAUUCUACUUAGGCACUCUCUUUGGCAACAAUGCUCCCAUUUACGUCUCUCAAUCAUCCUCCUCUAAUUCCUCUUCCUCUUCUGAUUUGUCCACGUUUCACAACAAAAUUACGCUUGCUUACCGCAAAACACCGUUGUUGAUCCCUGAAAGUGGGAUGAAUAUAUGUCCCCUGAAGUUUAAUGAGUAUAUCCCUUGCCAUGAUGUUUUCUAUGUGAAAAGUAUACUCCCAAGCUUAGAUCUUUCCAGACGAGAAGAGCUAGAGAGGCAUUGCCCUCCACCUGAAAAGCGUCUAUUUUGCUUGGUGCCACCUCCAGAAGAUUAUAAAUUGUCAAUAAAAUGGCCAACCAGCAGGGAUUAUGUGUGGCGAAGCAAUGUGAAUCAUACACAUCUUGCUGAAGUCAAAGGAGGACAAAAUUGGGUGCAUGAAAAGGACCAAUUAUGGUGGUUCCCAGGAGGCGGUACACAUUUCAAGCACGGG